rnacentral:rRNA from 1 species
AUUGAACGCUGGCGGCAGGCUUAACACAUGCAAGUCGAGCGGGGUGAUGGUGCUUGCACUAUCACUUAGCGGCGGACGGGUGAGUAAUGCUUAGGAAUCUGCCAAUUAGUGGGGGACAACAUCUCGAAAGGGAUGCUAACACCGCAUACGUCCUACGGGAGAAAGCAGGGGAUCACUUGUGACCUUGCGCUAAUAGAGGAGCCUAAGUGGGAUUAGCUAGUUGGUGGGGUAAGGGCCUACCAAGGCGACGAUCUGUAGCGGGUCUGAGGGGAUGAUCCGCCACACUGGGACGGAGACACGGCCCAGACUCCUACGGGAGGCAGCAGUGGGGAAUAUUGGACAAUGGGGGGAACCCUGAUCCAGCCAUGCCGCGUGUGUGAAGAAGGCCUUAUGGUUGUAAAGCACUUUAAGCGAGGAGGAGGCUCUUUUGGUUAAUACCCAAGAUGAGUGGACGUUACUCGCAGAAUAAGCACCGGCUAACUCUGUGCCAGCAGCCGCCGUAA